rnacentral:rRNA from 1 species
UACAGAGGGUGCGAGCGUUAAUCGGAAUUACUGGGCGUAAAGCGCGCGUAGGCGGCUUUGCAAGUCGGGUGUGAAAUCCCCAGGCCUAACCUGGGAACUGCAUUCGAGACUGCAUGGCUGGAGUAUGGGAGAGGGAAGUGGAAUUUCAGGUGUAGCGGUGAAAUGCGUAGAUAUCUGAAGGAACAUCAGUGGCGAAAGCGACUUCCUGGACCAAUACUGACGCUCAUGUGCGAAAGCGUGGGGAGCAAACAGGG